AUGCGCGCUGAUAUCGUCUGCUUCGUCUGCGAAGAAUGUCGCCAUCUACUACCCAAAUAGCGUGAUAUUGCCUGCCUCAUAUAUUGUUCACUGAACGUGUGAUCAACACACGCUACAGCCAGUGUUUGAACACCAGUUGAGCGGUAUUGUUCUGUAUCGACCCGUAUUGACAUUGAAUGAACGUAACAAACGAUCGGGCGACUCAGCUCAUUAGUGUUGGUCAACGCCGCAGACAGGUGUUCAAUUAACCUGGAAACACGGUAUUUCAUUUCUGCGAGAUGUACAUACUUUUAGCACUUACGAAAAGACUAGGAGAACUAUACAUUUGAUGCAGGAUAAUUUUCUCCCGAGUAUAAUCUAUUUGUGAUAGACGUUGGUGAGUCAGCGUAUAGUUUUCAGCUGCGUUCCGACAUUUUGUGUGAAGUGCUCCUGUAAGUUACUCCGUCGAGAGCUAAGUGAGCUAGAUGGCCGAAACCGUAGAAAUAGCUGAUCGUUUGCUAAGUAGUGACUGCGUGCUGUUCAUUGCUAAGGCUGCUCAUACGCUAUAGCUAUCCAUCUGUCUCUUUUAUCUAUCGAGCAAUGGAUUCUUACCAGCUCUCUUUUUCUUUGUACUGUCUCUUGUGUGUUUACCAUUAGUGGCAACGUGUAGUGUCUCUAUGCCAGCGUGUGUCAACAUUGCAGAAUACUUCGAAAAGGCAAUACUGUCAGUUUGAAAGCUCCUCCUUCUCGUGAUAUCAAAUAAUUCUACUCAAUGAAGUUUAGGUGUUAGAUUUAGCAAAAGUCGAGGCCUCUCGACUUGCAUACAAAAAAACCGUUUCUGUAUCAGUGUGUUUUCAUCGAAGUAAUUAUUUGCACUAGAUGAAAAAAAUCGCGAUUGUGGGACACCAAAGCCGUAUCAUGUACAUCGUAUGUCGUCAUUCUAGUGGACCACCGUAAAGUCCCAUAAGCACAUUGACUUUUUUUUAAUAUAAUUUCGAUUUUGAAGUGCGUAUCAUCGUAUUGGCACACACGAUAAGGAAACGUUUAGUUUUAUGGCAUUACUGUCCCGUAUGAUAAAUAGGCAUACAACGGCAUUGCGUAUUUGAUACGAUAAAGAAUUGAGUGGGAAUAACAUUAGGGGCGAAGUUUAUCCUUUUUCGUCCAUAUAUGUAUUGGUAUUCGGUACCUGUCGUUUUUGGACGCGCUAAUCCAGAAUCAUACAAUUCGUAGGAUGGCAGCAAAGUAGAGAAGCAGAAAGUCAUCGCGCUACCCAGGUGGACAUCUAGCCGAGGCAUAAUCAUACUUCACCUCGAUAUAUUGUGAUAUGUAAGGCGCGAUCAGCCUGUUAUCUAGUUGGAAGCAGGUGAGUUCGUCCCAUUAUGAUUUGAUGGACGGACGAAUGGACAUACAGCGAACAGAAACGUACAUACGACAAUUUCGUGCCAUGAAAGAGUUUGCCUCCGGCGAUUUCAUCGUAACAGAACAGUGAGUGCACGAUUACUAAUAGUUCAGAGUGUAUAAACUGUUUGUUGUCAGCAGGUGUCGUCAAGCUCGUUUAUCAUCAGACAACUAAACCUUUUGAGGAAACUGGUGAAUACAGUAUCAGAGUGGACUACUUGGUUAGUGGUAAAGCAAAGCGGGUUUUUAAUUAGCGACUGGGUACAGAAGCAUGACAUCCGGCGUAGGGAUGGUUCGCGGAGGCCCCAUUAUGGCCGUGUCGAGCAGUCGGCCUGUGCCGAUGAAGCUUUUCGCCGAUUCCGUUGAUCGCACCACACCUUCGUGUAUUCCAAGGCUUUGUAGCCUGAGUUUAACUCGGGUACGUCUGUAUAGGCCAUUAGAAGGCGGCGAUGGUGUCUCAUCGUUUACCAUAGCUGUCAAAAUGCAGUCAUCGAAACGAGCCCCCACGCGCUCCUCAGAUAUCCCCUACGUUCUUAAUAACUACCCGGAGGAUCCACACAAGGUGUUCGAUUGCGAGCUCGAUCUUCAGUUUUCAUUGCAGUACCCCCAUUUUAUUAAAAGAGGUGGAAAUCAACUCGUAGUGAUGAUCCAGCGUAAGAAAAAGUAUAAAAAUCGAACCAUGCUUGGGUAUAAGACGCUGGCUCAGAACACGCUGAACAUGUGCGAGGUCCUUCAGGGCCCAGUGGACAAAGAAUUAAUGUUGUUCGAGCCUCGAUCGGACAAUCCCGAUAAGGAAAAGCGGGGUAGCGUCGCUACGCCCGUGGCGGUUCUCACAAUGGGCAGUCUAAGCACGCUCCCAGUUGUGGAGGACAGUGUCGUUGGACUCGGCCUAAAAGGGAUAUCAAUUAAUGAAAGGUUCUCCGAUGACGAUUCGGAUGACAACAGCUCAGAGGUCUCUGACGAAGACGGAACUGCCGCCGGAGGUGGAACGGGUGGCGGUGGAGGGCGAACUCGGAGAAGAAGUCUCAGGAAAACGAACAGACGUGGUUCACUGAAGACGAGCCUUUUAUCGCCUAACGCAGAAGAGCCCCCAAGCGGAGGUGGGGGCGGCGGCGUGGGUGCGCAGAGCCAACGCAACAUCAAACAAAAGUUUAUCGCGCUUCUGCGCAAGUUUCGUGCUGCCGAUGACGUCGAAGGCGCGUCGGAUGGGGAACAAAGCGCUAUGGGCGAUGGAGCGGCUGAGGAACGGCGCCGACUGGAGGACCUCCUGUUUGAUGAGCUCUCUAAUCUAUCCGAUUUGUCCGGUGGCCAGGAAGAGAACGAUGAUCUGUCGAUUACGUCGACACCGAAGCCGUCGUUACGACCGUUCUUCUCAAGUCUUACGUUGGUACCGCCGAAUCAGGACGGAAUCUCCAAGUCUCCCACAAAUUUCAUAUCAGCGACAAAGGCCUCGGCCAGCGAAUCAGACGAAUCGGCCUGUGACUCCACACCCGAUGAAAAGAAACUUUUCGAGGACGAGCCAGGUCUGCCAUCGUCGUGCUAUUUGCUACAUUCAUCGGAACGGCAUUCGGCAGCGGUUGCCUCUGCUCUGAAAUCCAUUGUAAAAAGCGUGUCUAUUGUAGCUUCCGGGCCCGAGUUGAAAGCCGCACUUGGUGCUCUCGUGCAACGAGUUCAGAACUUUUGUAAUAACAACUCACGAAAUCCAACUUCUAUUAAGGUGGUUUUAAUGGGAGACGAUUCAUUCGUUAAUCACCUGCUCCGUGUGUACGUUGAACAAUUUUCCUCGAAGACCCCGGAAUGGAUUAACUAUUUUCGGUUUUUUCUUAUCCCACUCAGCCAACACGAAGCCGCUAUCGCAAGAUAUCUGGCUAGCGUAGAUUCAUCGUAUCCGUUUGCUGACUCAUCGUGGUUCGAAGCUCUUGCCGGUGCUCCUCUAUAUGAAUCGGAGAUCGCUUCACGGAUUGCCCGCUAUGUUAAUUCACCAGUCACCUCAGUUCUUCAAUUGCCAAUUGCCGAGGUUAUGCUGACAUUAGCAAAACAGGACUCUACUCAGGCAUUCGUGCCAUUUGUUACCGAGGUCCGCAUUGAGGGUGUCGAAGACUCGACCUCGCCCCCUGGCGACAGUAAAGCUACUGGCGAUAACAAGGUAACACCUCCCAAUUCACCGGCGCAGGCAGGUCAUCAAGCGUCGAUUGGCGGAAUUAGCGGAGGAUCUGGCAGUGCCCCUGGAAGCGGAAGACAUAGUCGGAUUGGCGAAAAAGAUAAAGAUGGGGUUGGCGGCGGCCGAAGCGAACGGGAAUUUGAACCAAUGGAGCUACAGAUCGACUUUUGGACCGUCAACAAUAAAGAAGCAAACAAAUGUACUCUUAAGGGAAUUUUUAGGCAUUUACAGGUUCGCCGGAUGCCCCCUUCACAUCUACUUACAUUGAGUUACUCGACAAAAGAGAAAGUUAAACAAAAAGUGAUGCGGUUGGGUAAGAAAAAGACAUCAACUGGGGCAGAUGAAGGGACAAAACAGGCCGAUGGCGUGCAGAGGCUUAUUUGUUCAUCGAAGAACGCUCCGCUACGGAUCACAAUCGAUGGAACGGAAUGGACCAAUGUAAAAUUUUUCCAGCUGUCAUCACAGUGGCAAACACACGUGAAAACGGUGCCAUUUGCGGUAAAUCAGAUGGCGCCCGCUGGCGGGAAUCAAAUGCAGACGCAGUCGGCUAGUUUGAGCGAACGUGGAAUAGGUUCAGCUGGUGUAGAGGCCCUAGGCGGAGGGUCAACUGACAGAUCGUCGAAUGCGGCAAGCGGCCAGCCGGGUCCUGCUUCAGGAAGACAGCAGCAACAACAACAGCAGCAAACUAUCAUCGAUGAACUUUGAUUGAUCAGCUCGAAUCGAGAAGAUGAUUGACGGAUAUUGGGCUGCUUUGGGACACUUCAUUCUGAAAGGCUUAAUGGGUAAAAAUGAGUAGUGAGGUGGCUAACAAUGCAGCGCAUGCACAUAUGCCCGGUUCAGUACGAAGAAGAUUUACGUCGUGUCUGGGGUUACUAUGAUGUAAUUGCACUGUCGUUCUUUCCGAAACGACAUUUACCGCUUCGGAAAUUCUGCUACAUAAUAACAUACACACAAAUACACGCACAUACCUACAUACAAAUAAACAUGAUUAGUCGGAUAGAGAAAUCAAAUAUUCCUUUGUGUCACGACUCGAUCGGUAACAUAGAGAGCUAUGAAUUCCGGCAACAAGUUACUGUGAUCUGUUCUUCAUUAGAAUGCUUUAUACUAUAUAUAUAUAUAUAUAUAUAUAUAUAUAUAUAUAUAUAUAUCCCAUGGUUCUAAAAGUGUAUAUAAGAGACAAAUGAAGACAACAGCAAUACUACACCGGUGCACAGAAGGAACCCAUUAAGAAACGAUAACGUAAGGAUGACCAUAAACAUGUCAUUAUUAUAUUGAAUUGACCUGUGUUCUGGACUCGCGCAAGACUCAGUCACUGGAAAUGAUAGGCAAAAUAGGCAAAAACUAAAACUCUUGCUUCGAGUCCUUUUCUUGCUAUAUGUAUAAUGAUAGGACUGAUAGGUUUAGACUUCAACAAAAGCCAAAAAAAUUAGGGUAGCGCACCGUCAUCCCGCUGACAAUAAACCGACAAUUCCGAGUAAAGUUUUUCCAUAGAAUCCCGCCAAAUUAAACGAUCCAAAGCCCGCACGGGUUUGGGAAGAAAAACGUAAAGUAUGCCUGGGUCCACGAUGAAACGACCCAUUAGCACGAUUAUGCUGGGGUCAUGGUCGACAAUAAUUCGCACUAUUCUCAAGGUCUUGCACACUUGAGAGCUCGGAUAAGUCAGAACUGCGCAAAACAGGAUACAGUCUGAAAGGUGUAUCUACAAAAGAUAGCAGAGAACGGCCAUACGACCGUGACUUGCUUUUCAUGUUAAAUAAAUAAACGUACCAUAGAGAUUUAGUUGUUUUUUCUUCAAGUUGAAUUUCUAUCGUUAAUUUUAUAUUAUUAUUUAUCUUUGACGGUAAUCGCUAAAAAAGCCUGAAAAUACAUUCAAGCAGUUUGCUCAAAUGUUCGAAAAUUUUGAAAAAUAUGGAUUUUCUAAGAAAUUUCAACAUCAUAAAGAUGGAACAGUUGACAGAAGUUUAGUGGUUUAAGAACAAAACAAGUCACUUAAUGGGGUUUGCAGUUGCUGAACGAUAAACAUUAUACGAUCGAAUUGUAAAGUGCUAAUCCUGAUUUUCACGCUUUAUAAGAAAGGCUUCGAACGCAGUUUUUCCACCACUCUAUUGCGAAGAUAAACGCUUAUCAAGACGAUCUUCUAUGUCGGCUCGGGUUUAUUGUAUACUCAAACUAAAUAAUGGUAGCUUUCCAGUUUUUUGACCAUCGGUUUGCGUAUAAAAGCGUAUUUUUUUUUUAGUAGAAUCUGUACAUACGGCAGAAGAAAACUGUUUGUGUGUUUUGUUGAUUUCAGGAAUAUUUUAUAUUAUCUAACUUCCAGGUACUUGCUAACUUAUUCGACAUGUACCCGCCGGUAGGGUGAUGCUUCAAAAGAGCAGAAAGACC